GAUGAACGCUGGCGGCGUGCCUAAUACAUGCAAGUCGAGCGAACGGACGAGAAGCUUGCUUCUCUGAUGUUAGCGGCGGACGGGUGAGUAACACGUGGAUAACCUACCUAUAAGACUGGGAUAACUUCGGGAAACCGGAGCUAAUACCGGAUAAUAUUUUGAACCGCAUGGUUCAAAAGUGAAAGACGGUCUUGCUGUCACUUAUAGAUGGAUCCGCGCUGCAUUAGCUAGUUGGUAAGGUAACGGCUUACCAAGGCAACGAUGCAUAGCCGACCUGAGAGGGUGAUCGGCCACACGGGCACUGAGACACGGUCCAGACUCCUACGGGAGGCAGCAGUAGGGAAUCUUCCGCAAUGGGCGAAAGCCUGACGGAGCAACGCCGCGUGAGUGAUGAAGGUCUUCGGAUCGUAAAACUCUGUUAUUAGGGAAGAACAUAUGUGUAAGUAACUGUGCACAGCUUGACGGUACCUAAUCAGAAAGCCACGGCUAACUACGUG
rnacentral:rRNA from 1 species